rnacentral:rRNA from 1 species
ACCUGACUGCUAUCGGAUUGAUACUAAGCCAUGCGAGUCUUUGCAGUAAUGCGAGGCAUACGGCUCAGUAACACGUAGUCAACUUACCCUAUGGACGAGGAUAAUCUCGGGAAACUGAGCAUAAUACUCGAUAGAUCAUAAUGCCUGGAAUGGUUUAUGGUUGAAAUGAUUCAUCGCCAUAGGAUGGGACUGCGGCCUAUCAGCUUGUUGGUGAGGUAAUGGCCCACCAAGGCGAUUACAGGUACGGGCUCUGAGAGGAGAAGCCCGGAGAUGGGUACUGAGACAAGGACCCAGGCCCUAUGGGGCGCAGCAGGCGAGAAAACUUUGCAAUGUGCGAAAGCACGACAAGGUUAAUCCGAGUGAUUUCUGCUAAAGAAAUCUUUUGCAAGUCAUAAAACCACUAGUGAAUAAGGGGUGGGCAAGUUCUGGUGUCAGCCGCCGCGGUAAAACCAGCACCUCAAGUGGUCAGGAGGAUUAUUGGGCCUAAAGCAUCCGUAGCCGGCUCUGUAAGUUUUCGGUUAAAUCCAUGUGCUCAACGCAUGGGCUGCCGAAAAUACUGCAUAGCUAGGGAGUGGGAGAGGUAGACGGUACUCGGUAGGAAGGGGUAAAAUCCUUUGAUCUAUCGAUGACCACCUGUGGCGAAGGCGGUCUACCAGAACACGUUCGACGGUGAGGGAUGAAAGCUGGGGGAGCAAACCGGAUUAGAUACCCGGGUAGUCCCAGCUGUAAACGAUGCAGACUCGAUGAUGCAUUGGCAUAUAGCCAGUGCAGUGUCGCAGGGAAGCCGUUAAGUCUGCCGCCUGGGAAGUACGUACGCAAGUAUGAAACUUAAAGGAAUUGGCGGGGGAGCACCACAAGGGGUGAAGCCUGCGGUUC